rnacentral:rRNA from 1 species
UACGUAGGCAGCGGAGCGUUGUUCGGAGUUACUGGGCGUAAAGGGUGUGUAGGCGGUUGUUUAAGUUUGGUGUGAAAUCUCCCGGCUCAACUGGGAGGUGCGCCGAAUACUGAAUGACUUCGAGUACGGGAGAGGUGAGUGGAAUUCCUGGUGUAGCGGUGAAAUGCGUAGAUAAUCAGGAGGAACACCGGUGGUGUAGACGGCUCACUGGACCGUAACUGACGCUGAGACACGAAAGCGUGGGUAGCAAACAGG